CCCGCUUUACGUUGUGGUGUCGUCGUUGCCUUCUCUGUCCCUGUGAGGGGAGAUAAAAUGGCGGCGGAGAGUGAGGCCUCGGCCCCGCACUGAUAAUACGGCCAUGGCGGGGGCUGUGCUCUCAGCCUGCAGCCCUGUGGGUGUCCGCUCCCAUGGCAACGGGAGGGCCUUGGCCACAGAGCUCGCACUCACCUGCCAGCCCGGGGUCUCCAAACCCUGAGAGUAGUGGGAUA